AGAGUUUGAUCAUGGCUCAGGAUGAAUGCUGGCGGCGUGGAUAGGGCAUGCAAGUCGAGUGGGUUUAGACCCACGGCAGACGAGAUCAGUAAUACACAGGUACGCACCCCGGAGUCGGGCAUAUUCCACCGAAAGGUGGCGCAAUUCCCGAUGGCGUGGUGACACUAAAGGAGCAAUCCGCUCCGGGAGCGGCCUGUGCAGCAUCAGCUAGUUGGUAAGGUAACGGCUUACCAAGGCUAUGACGCUUAGGGGACCUGAGAGGGUGACCCCCAUCGAUGGAACUGAGACACGGUCCAUACACCUACGGGUGGCUGCAGUCGAGAAUAUUCCACAAUGGACGAAAGUCUGAUGGAGCGACGCCGCGUGGUUGAUGAAGUCCUUCGGGACGUAAAAACCUUUUAUGAGGGAGGAAGUAAUUGACGUUACCUCAUGAAUAAGGAGCUCCUAACUCUGUGCCAGCAGGAGCGGUAAUACAGAGGCUCCAAGCAUUAUCCGGAAUCACUGGGCGUAAAGGGUGUGUAGGCGGUCGUAUUAGUCUUUCGUAAAAGCCCGCAGGCUCAACCUGUGGAAUGCGGAGGAAACGGUACGGCUUAGAGGACGCGAGAGGUAUAUGGAACUCAUGGUGUAGGGGUGAAAUCCGUUGAUAUCAUGGGGAACACCAAAUGCGAAGGCAAUAUACUGGCGCGCUCCUGACGCUGAGACACGAAAGCGUGGGCAUCGAAUGGGAUUAGAUACCCCAGUAGUCC
rnacentral:rRNA from 1 species